CUACGUGCCAGCAGCCGCGGUAAUACGGAAGGUCCAGGCGUUAUCCGGAUUUAUUGGGUUUAAAGGGAGCGUAGGCUGGAGAUUAAGUGUGUUGUGAAAUGUAGACGCUCAACGUCUGAAUUGCAGCGCAUACUGGUUUCCUUGAGUACGCACAACGUUGGCGGAAUUCGUCGUGUAGCGGUGAAAUGCUUAGAUAUGACGAAGAACUCCGAUCGCGAAGGCAGCUUUCCGUUUCGGAACUGACGCUGAGGCUCGAAAGUGCGGGUAUCGAACAGGAUUAGAUACCCUGGUAGUCCGCACGGUAAACGAUGGAUGCUCGCUGUUGGAUAUUUUUAUUCAGUGGCUAAGUGAAAACGUUAAGCAUCCCACCUGGGGAGUACGCCGGCAACGGUGAAACUCAAAGGAAUUGACGGGGGCCCGCACAAGCGGAGGAACAUGUGGUUUAAUUCGAUGAUACGCGAGGAACCUUACCCGGGCUUGAA
rnacentral:rRNA from 1 species